UACGUAGGGAGCAAGCGUUGUUCGGAUUUACUGGGCGUAAAGGGCGCGUAGGCGGCGCGGUAAGUCACUUGUGAAAUCUCUGAGCUUAACUCAGAACGGCCAAGUGAUACUGCAGUGCUAGAGUGCAGAAGGGCAAUCGGGAAUUCUUGGUGUAGCGGUGAAAUGCGCAGAUAUCAGGAGGAACACCGGUGGCGAAGGCGGGUCUCUGGGCCGAUACUGACGCUGAGGAGCGAAAGCGUGGGGAGCGAACAGG
rnacentral:rRNA from 1 species